GCUCAGCCCCUGACACGCUCGGCUCUUCGCGCCUGAGACCAGCACCGAGAGGAAAGAGUGGUGAGCGCGGCAAAGGCCACUCGGCGCGGGCAGGGGAGACCGGCCGGGACAGCUCAGCGACACGCACUCAGGCUGACUCGGGCUGGUACUGGUGGCUAGGAAUGUCGUCCUGGACCAGGUGGCAUGGACCCGCCAUGGCGCGGCUCUGGGGCUUCUGCUGGCUGAUUGUGGGCUUCUGGAGGGCCGCUCUUGCCUGUCCCACAUCCUGCAAGUGCAGCGCCUCUCGGAUCUGGUGCGGCGAUCCUUCUCCUGGCAUCGUGGCGUUUCCGAGGCUGGAGUCUACCAGUGCUGAUCCUGAGAACAUCACCGAAAUUUACAUUGCAAAUCAGAAAAGAUUAGAAAUCAUCAACGAAGAUGAUCUUGAAGCUUAUGUGGGACUGAAAAACCUGACCAUUGUGGAUUCUGGAUUAAAAUCUGUGGCUCAUAAAGCAUUCCUGAAAAACAGCAACUUACAGCACAUCAAUUUUACCCGAAAUAAACUGACGAUUUUGUCUAGGAAACAUUUUCGUCACCUUGACUUGUCUGAGCUGAUCCUGGUGGGCAACCCAUUUAUGUGCUCCUGUGACAUUAUGUGGAUCAAGACUCUUCAGGAGACUAAACCUAGUCCAGAAACUCAGGAUUUGUACUGUCUGGAUGAAAACAGCAAGAAUAUUUCACUGGCAAACCUGCAGAUACCCCAUUGUGGUUUGCCAUCAGCAAAUCUGGCUGCACCUAACCUCACCGUGGAGGAGGGAAAGUCUAUCACAUUGUCUUGUACUGUUGCAGGUGACCCAGUUCCAAAUUUGUACUGGGAUGUCGGUAAUCUGGUUUCCAAGCAUAUGAAUGAAACAAGCCACACACAGGGCUCCUUAAGGAUAACUAACAUUUCAUCUGAUGACAGUGGAAAGCAAAUCUCUUGUGUGGCAGAAAAUCUUGUAGGAGAAGAUCAAGAUUCUGUCAACCUCACUGUACAUUUUGCUCCAACUAUCACAUUUCUCGAAUCUCCAACCUCAGACCACCACUGGUGCAUUCCAUUCACUGUGAAAGGCAAUCCCAAGCCAGCGCUUCAGUGGUUCUAUAACGGGGCAAUUUUGAAUGAGUCCAAAUACAUCUGUACUAAAAUCCAUGUUACCAAUCAUACGGAGUACCACGGCUGCCUCCAGCUGGACAACCCCACUCACAUGAACAAUGGGGACUACAAGUUAGUAGCCAAGAAUGAAUAUGGGAAGGAUGAGAAACAGAUUUCUGCUCACUUCAUGGGCUGGCCUGGAAUCGAUGAUGGUGCAAAUCCAAAUUAUCCUGAUGUAAUUUAUGAAGAUUACGGAACCGCAGCAAAUGACAUUGGGGACACCACGAACAAAAGUAAUGGAACCCUUCCCACAGGUGUUGUUGAUACAGGUCGGGAACACCUCUCGGUCUAUGCUGUGGUGGUAAUUGCAUCUGUAGUGGGAUUUUGUCUACUGGUAAUGCUAUUUCUGCUGAAGUUGGCAAGACAUUCCAAGUUUGGCAUGAAAGGGCGGACUGUCUCACGUUGGAGGGCUGCAGUUGCUGACGACUAUGACAUCUUUGUUUACUGA
rnacentral:lncRNA from 1 species